rnacentral:rRNA from 1 species
UACGUGGGGUGCAAGCGUUGUUCGGAAUUACUGGGCGUAAAGCGCGUGUAGGCGGUUCGCUAAGUUCGAUGUGAAAGCCCUGGGCUUAACCCAGGAACUGCAUUGAAAACUGGCAGACUUGAGUCCGGGAGAGGGUCGCGGAAUUCCUGGUGUAGAGGUGAAAUGCGUAGAUAUCUGGAGGAACACCGGUGGCGAAGGCGACAUCCUGGACCGGUAUUGACGCUGAGGCGCGAAAGCGUGGGGAGCAAACAGG